rnacentral:misc_RNA from 1 species
GAAAUGCGAUAAGUAAUGUGAAUUGCAGAAUUCAGUGAAUCAUCGAAUCUUUGAACGCAACUUGCGCUCCUUGGUAUUCCUUGGAGUAUGCCUGUUUGAGUAUCAUGAAAUCUUCAAAGUAAAUCUUUUGUUAACUCAAUUGGUUUCUACUUUGGUAUUGGAGGUCUUUGCAGCUUCACACCUGCUCCUCUUUGUUCAUUAGCUGGAUCUCAGUGUUAUGCUUGGUUCCACUCGGCGUGAUAAGUUAUCUAUCGCUGAGGACACUGUAAAAGGUGGCCAAGGUAAAUGCAGAUGAACCGCUUCUAAUAGUCCAUUGACUUGGACAAUACUUUUAUGAUCUGAUCUCAAAUCAGGUAGGACUACCCGCUGAACUCAAGC